rnacentral:rRNA from 1 species
CAGUCGCCGCGGUAAUACGAGGGGGGCAAGCGUUGUUCAGAAUUAUUGGGCGUAAAGGGUGCGUAGGCGGUUUGAUAAGUCUUGUGUGAAAUCUAUGGGCUCAACCCAUAGUCUGCACAGGAAACUGUCGGGCUUGAGAGUGGGAGAGGUGAGUGGGAUUUCCGGUGUAGCGGUGAAAUGCGUAGAUAUCGGAAGGAACACCUGUGGCGAAAGCGGCUCACUGGACCAUUUCUGACGCUGAUGCAUGAAAGCUAGGGGAGCAAACAGGAUUAGAUACCCCGGUAGUCCCUGUCUCUUAUAC